rnacentral:rRNA from 1 species
GGGGUACACGAGUGGCGAACGGGUGAGUAACACGUGGGUGAUCUGCCCUGCACUUUGGGAUAAGCCUGGGAAACUGGGUCUAAUACCGAAUACACCCUGCUGGUCGCAUGGCCUGGUGGGGGAAAGCUUUUGCGGUGUGGGAUGGGCCCGCGGCCUAUCAGCUUGUUGGUGGGGUGAUGGCCUACCAAGGCGACGACGGGUAGCCGGCCUGAGAGGGUGUCCGGCCACACUGGGACUGAGAUACGGCCCAGACUCCUACGGGAGGCAGCAGUGGGGAAUAUUGCACAAUGGGCGCAAGCCUGAUGCAGCGACGCCGCGUGAGGGAUGACGGCCUUCGGGUUGUAAACCUCUUUCAGCAGGGACGAAGCCAAGUGACGGUACCUGUAGAAGAAGCACCGGCCAACUACGUGCCAGCAGCCGCGGUAAUACGUAGGGUGCGAGCGUUGUCCGGAAUUACUGGGCGUAAAGAGCUCGUAGGUGGUUUGUCGCGUUGUUCGUGAAAACUCACAGCUUAACUGUGGGCGUGCGGGCGAUACGGGCAGACUGGAGUACUGCAGGGGAGACUGGAAUUCCUGGUGUAGCGGUGGAAUGCGCAGAUAUCAGGAGGAACACCGGUGGCGAAGGCGGGUCUCUGGGCAGUAACUGACGCUGAGGAGCGAAAGCGUGGGGAGCGAACAGGAUUAGAUACCCUGGUAGUCCACGCCGUAAACGGUGGGUACUAGGUGUGGGUUUCCUUCCUUGGGAUCCGUGCCGUAGCUAACGCAUUAAGUACCCCGCCUGGGGAGUACGGCCGCAAGGCUAAAACUCAAAGGAAUUGACGGGGGCCCGCACAAGCGGCGGAGCAUGUGGAUUAAUUCGAUGCAACGCGAAGAACCUUACCUGGGUUUGACAUGCACAGGACGUGCCUAGAGAUAGGUAUUCCCUUGUGGCCUGUGUGCAGGUGGUGCAUGGCUGUCGUCAGCUCGUGUCGUGAGAUGUUGGGUUAAGUCCCGCAACGAGCGCAACCCUUGUCUCAUGUUGCCAGCACGUUAUGGUGGGGACUCGUGAGAGACUGCCGGGGUCAACUCGGAGGAAGGUGGGGAUGACGUCAAGUCAUCAUGCCCCUUAUGUCCAGGGCUUCACACAUGCUACAAUGGCCGGUACAAAGGGCUGCGAUGCCGUGAGGUGGAGCGAAUCCUUGUAAAGCCGGUCUCAGUUCGGAUCGGGGUCUGCAACUCGACCCCGUGAAGUCGGAGUCGCUAGUAAUCGCAGAUCAGCAACGCUGCGGUGAAUACGUUCCCGGGCCUUGUACACACCGCCCGUCACGUCAUGAAAGUCGGUAACACCCGAAGCC